AGAGUUUGAUCAUGGCUCAGGAUGAACGCUAGCGGCAGGCCUAAUACAUGCAAGUCGAACGGCAAGUUUUGUAGCAAUACGGAACCUAGAGUGACGUACGGGUGCGUAACACGUAUGCAACCUACCCAUAACUGGAGGAUAGCUCCCCGAAAGGGGAAUUAACCCUCCAUAGUAUAAUUGACUGGCAUCAGUUGAUUAUUAAAACUCCGGUGGUUAUGGAUGGGCAUGCGUCUGAUUAGUUAGUUGGCGGUGUAACGGACCACCAAGACGAUGAUCAGUAGGGGAACUGAGAGGUUGAUCCCCCACACUGGCACUGAGAUACGGGCCAGACUCCUACGGGAGGCAGCAGUAGGGAAUAUUGGUCAAUGGAUGCAAGUCUGAACCAGCCAUGCCGCGUGCAGGAAGAAGGCCCUAUGGGUUGUAAACUGCUUUUGCCAGGGGAUAAAAUGGGCGUGCGCGCCUAAUUGAAGGUACCUGGUGAAUAAGCCACGGCUAACUACGUGCCAGCAGCCGCGGUAAUACGUAGGUGGCAAGCGUUGUCCGGAUUUAUUGGGUUUAAA
rnacentral:rRNA from 1 species